ACCAAUACAAUUUGAUGCUGAUAACCACCAAGCCUAUAGGGCAGUAGCUAAAAUCUACAACCGACAAAGCCCUACUAUAUCCAUAGCUACUGGUGAACUGUGUUGGUAUAUGGUGGUUCAGGUUAGUAUCAACAAGUGAUGUCACCAAUUAGGAUUGAAAUUUUGAUACUCUGAUUAGUUGUGUUUCGCUAAGUAUAUAUUAAUGUUUUCUGAACCAAAAUCUUUCCUACAACAAGCUUUAGUAUUUUCCCCCUGUUGUUGUUUACUUUCCUGUACAGCAUGUUGUUCUUGAGUGGCUUGCUUGAAUGACGUGUUUGUGGUUGCCGAGCCCGGCAAGCUUGCAGAUGGAUUUCUGAUUAUGAAAUGGAUUUCUGGUUCUGAAAUGGAUUUCUGAAGAUGGAUUUAUGAAACAGAAAGGAAGCUUACGUCUUGGCUAAGUUUUCAUCUGUAUAAUCCAUUAACAAAAUGGCGAUCCUUUUGCGUAGUUAUAUGGGCUGUCAAACGCAUGCAAAUAAAGGAAAAGCUAAAAUAUGAAAGGAAGGCGACAAGGUGGUGGUGAUGAAGGUGUGUG